rnacentral:lncRNA from 1 species
AGGUGGCACCUCCUAGAAGAAAAUUCUUUCUCUAGCCUCGCAUGUCUCCUCUUCUUCUCUCUUGGAAGAAAUCUUUCUUCUCUCUCUUAUGUGGACACUUCUCUUCUCUCUUUGGAAGAAGCUUCUUGCAAUAGCUCUCAAAAAUCCCAAAAAAAUCUCCAAAGAAAAUCCCUCAAAAUCUCACAAACUCUCUUUGUUACCUCUCUCUAGAC